rnacentral:rRNA from 1 species
GACGAACGCUGGCGGCGUGCUUAACACAUGCAAGUCGAACGGAAAGGCCCUGCUUUUGUGGGGUGCUCGAGUGGCGAACGGGUGAGUAACACGUGAGUAACCUGCCCUUGACUUUGGGAUAACUUCAGGAAACUGGGGCUAAUACCGGAUAGGAGCUCCUGCUGCAUGGUGGGGGUUGGAAAGUUUCGGCGGUUGGGGAUGGACUCGCGGCUUAUCAGCUUGUUGGUGGGGUAGUGGCUUACCAAGGCUUUGACGGGUAGCCGGCCUGAGAGGGUGACCGGCCACAUUGGGACUGAGCUGCGGCCCAGCCUCCUACGGGAGGCAGCAGUGGGGAAUAUUGCACAAUGGGCGGAAGCCUGAUGCGGCCACGCCGCGUGCGGGAUGACGGCCUGCGGGUUGUAAACCGCUUUCGCCUGUGACGAAGCGUGAGUGACGGUAAUGGGUAAAGAAGCACCGGCUAACUACGUG